CGCCUGCGUCACUUCCGUCCAGGCCGGAACCCAAGAUGGCUGCGCUCUUGCUGAGACAUGUUGGCCGUCAUUGUCUCCGAGCUCACCUUAGUCCUCAGCUGUGUAUCCGAAAUGCUGUUCCCCUGGGGACCACAGCCAAAGAAGAGAUGGAGCGGUUCUGGAAUAAGAACACAAGUUCAAACCGUCCUUUAUCUCCCCAUAUCUCUAUCUACGGUGCAUGAGGGCUCCAGUU